ACUCCCAAUCAUGGCCGGAUGUGACGCAGCCUGGAUUUGAACCAGGGGCUGCAGUGACGCCUGUUGCACUGAGAUGCAGUGUCUUAGACCUCUGUGCCACUCAGAGCCUAUAUAGGGAAUAGUAUGCCAUUUUCCACCGCUUAUCCAUUGCAAGAGUGUCAUUACAGAGUAAACAACACUCUCAUUCCUUCAAGUGCUGAAUACAGCCGACGGCUUACUAAUGUGUAUUGAUUUCAUGUUGAAGUGUAUUUAUCCUAUGCCAGUGGUUCCCAAACUUUUUAUAGUUCUGUAUCCCUUCAAACAUUAAACUUCCAGCCGCGUACCCCCUCUAGCACCAGGGUCAGCGCACUCUCAAAUGUUGUUUUUUGCCGUCAUUGUAAGCCUGCCACACACACACUAUACAAUACAUUUAUUAAACAUAAGAAUGAGUGUGAGAUUGUUAGAUAUUACUGCAUGGUCGGAACUAGAAGCACAAGCAUUUUGCUACACUCACAAUAACGCCUGCUAACAUCUGUGACGAAUAAUAAGAUUUGAUUUGAGAUAUAAAUGAUCUAGAAAAGAUAAUGGACCUAUAUUUUGUCAUCCUAAUUUUGUCCAUUCCACAAGUGUACAAACUCUAACGUUUGAACAGAUUAUGAUAGACUUGAGGUUUGGACCAUUGACUUUCUUUAGAUGAUUGUCUACACAAUUAACAUUAUUUUACCCACGGCAACCUGCCUAAAUUAUUACCGCCCUGUAGCACUCAGGUUGGUAGCCAUGAAAUGCUUUGAAAGGCUGGUCAUGGCGCACAUAAACGGCAUCCUUCCGGAUACCCGAGACCCACUCCAAUUCGCAUACCGUCCCAAAAGAUCCACAGAUGACGCAAUCUUAAUCGCACUCCACACGGCCCUUUCCCACCUGGACAAAACACCUACAGUAGUUCCUACUUUAAAAGUUGCAUCAUACUGCAGCACACCUUGCAUGCAAUGUUCUGUGGCACGUAAAUGAAUUCUCAGCCAUUUUUUCUUUUACUGCAAGUUACUGCUAGUUUGACCAUCAGACGGCACCUUUGAGAAGCAUUUGAUAGUAUUCCGUAUUGGCAUUACCAGAGAAUUUAAAACCUUUUUUGUAAUAACAUAGGAUAGAUUUUAAGAAAUGAAUUAAUAUUUUGGUGUUUCUAUUCAGAGAAAAAUGAAACCCUCAGGGUUUCCAUUAGGAUGGAAUGGAAAAUAUGGCGCUGUACAACAUAAUUCUCAGGAGUAGGCUACAGGAUUGGCACAUUCUAAAUUGUUUUCCUAUAUUACACAACAUUGUUCCAAUAUUUCUGUAAAUCAGUGAUAAUUAUUCCCAUAGUAAUUAGUUAUCAACAUCUGCAUUUCGAAAGUGUUUGUUUUUUUCUCCAUUAUUUUAUUAAUGAAAUGUUUUUUUUAUUAGGCUACUGUGCAGUCUACAAUACAUACUGUAGUAAACAUGGGAAAGUGCCUAAUUCCUUACAUAAGGGAGAGCAGGGCAUGUCUGUACUACAGAAUGCGGGGCACGCUGGAAACCGGUGUUAUAUCAUAGUUCUGAUGUCCUCACUAUUAUUCUCCAAAUCCUAGAAUGAGUAGGUGUGUCCAAACUUUUAGCUGGUAAUUGCUUAAGUAAUUUGAUUAAUGGUGUUUCUAUUCCAUGAAAAAUAAAAAACCCUCUUGAGUUUCCGUUAGGAUGGAACAGAAAAUAUGGCACUCUACAACGUGACGCUCAUAAAUUCAGAGCAUUGUCAGUUUGUAAAUUCAGACCGUUUCGCUCUCGGAGCACGCACUGGACUUUUGGGCUGACAAGAACGGUUGAUUUGAGCGUUCUGGCCUUACAACGGCAGUCAAGCACGUGUUCGUGUAAUCCAGAGCGUUGGUAACUGUGCUGGAAACAAUUUAAUUAUGCUUUUUUCCCCGACGUUUACUGACACCGGCCAUAUUCAACGGGUGUUGGGCGCUCAAAUGAAUUAUUCUGCGCUCUGGUACACUCAGACGAGAGUGCUCUGAAAUCCAUGUAGAUAGUAGGCUGGACACAUGAUAUCCAUGUCGAUAGUAGGCUGGACCAGUUUCAUAAUUUGACCAUAUUUCCCAGCUGCUUGCUGUCGUUUUGAAGUAAUUGUGAAAAAACAGGCCUUAUUUUAGUGCAUUUUUCACCCUGCCAGCUCCUGUUAGUUCUAUUGAGCACCGUGGCACCAACUCACCUUCCGAACGUUCUAUUCCCAGCUUAUUGUUCAACGUCACAAUGCUUCCUUCGCUAAUGUUGGCAAUGAGACCUGUUCACGUUGUUUUAGUUAAAAUGUAAACCACAACAAAAUAAUAUUGGAACUCUGCGGUCUUCCAAUUGUUUCCUAUGGGGGAAAUAUAGGCAUGUCUGUCUAUUUGGGCAAAUAUCUCGCAAUGUGUUUAUUUAGAUGUUUUUCAAGUCGGGCACCAUUUUAAUCAGGAGAAUCUCCUCUUUGUAAGUCUGGCAGUGAGCUCAUUUGUCAUCGAUCGCUAAACCAGAAAUAGUAAAGUUUUUAUUUUUCCCUCCUUUCUCAUUACGCAGACAUAAGCGCAGUUGACACCAUCGAGGUGCGGAUAUUUACUUUCUACACAAGUAGUUUUAUUUCCAGUUUCGUCCGAUGAACAGAUUGUAGUGGUAAAAUAAAAAGGGAUACAUUUUUUUUGUGCCAUUUAGGCGAAAUAGAAUUCUAAGCAUCACUCCAGUCAAAACAGGCUCUGCGAAUGUUCAAUUCCAUUCAUUUGCUAUGGGCUCGAGCUAGUGUUCCAGCUUAGCCAGCUUAAGCCGUUCUUCAGCCUCGGGUGAAUUUUGACUCGUUCUAUUGUCCAGCCUAUAGAUAGACAGAGCGAAUUUAUGAAUGUAUCCGAAUGUCCAUUGAGAAAGCACAACGACUAUACCAUUUAGCCAAGCUAAGAAUGACUGGAAUAAUCAAGUCAAUAAAUGUUGGGUAGUUUUGCCUAUAGUUAAUAUACUGGCAAGUUUGUUGUAUAACUACUAACGUUAGGUAGCUAGCUAACAUACCGGUACAUACUGUUGUAAUGAUAUGCUAUGUAGUUCGCAAGGACAGUGUAGCUAUCAAAUAUAACGUGUAAUGUAACUUAUUUGAACAGUCAUUACUUUAUGACAUUGAGUAGCAAGCUACCCCUUACACGAGGUAAGAACAGCAGCAGACACGAAUUAGGGAAAAUCUGGUCUGUGAUGGGGGGGGUCACACCUAGUUUGGCUUUUAGACUAUAGACUAUUCUUUAGUAAAGGUUGAAUAGUCUCUAUUGUUCAGCUAUUAGCCCUCCUCCCCAACUUGCAACAAAUUGUUGUUCCCAUUCUCGUUCCUUUCCCUCUCCCACACAUCAUCGUUCUGUGCCUGAGUGGCUCGCUUGUGGGCGUGCUGGCAGAAUAUGGCAGCAGCAUCGGUUGUGCGUCAAGAAUUCUGCAUACAGUAGCACGUUUGUAUGAAGGUGUGGUUAUUCACAGGCAAAUUGUUAUAUGCUAUGGAGGUACAUUUGAGAGCACAUUUGAGAGCAAAACUCUUCUUUAAAAAAUAAUAAAAAAUCAAUCAAAAAUAAUUGUUCUGAAAGCAACUUUUUCCCGACACAAAGAAAGUCAUAGCGGACAUCUACGAAGAAGGACUGUGUGAUGAUGGCAUCUCAGGUAAGCAGCACUGGGCGUUUUUCCAUCCAAAUUUUAACUAGCUAGUAGUUAGCUCCUACGAUUCAGUGUAGGUUUAUAAAAUUCUACUAUAUUAUAUAAAUCCAUACCGUAGAGUGAUAAGUCAUGCAAUUGUUAUUCUCAAGCAAACACAAAAGCGAUUAGCGUUCUCGCCAUUUUCAGUUGAAUUAAUCUAACUUUCUUUCAUGGCAACUCAUAAGCAGGCCAUGUCAUAUUUGUUUCAUAGUCGAUAUAUAACCAUACUUCAUGACAGUGUAACGGUUAGCUUUUUUUUACAGAAGGAAGAAAGAACACAAUGUCUGUCACAAAGAGUUAGGGUGUCUUUGCAGCGUGUAGAUGAUGAAGGUAUCAUUACAUAUUUCCCAUCACUUAAUUAACAACCACAAUAUCAGUCUGGUGUUAAGCUUUCUGUGCUGUAUUGACGUAUCCUAGAAAAUGACAUCUGCUGCUUUAGAUUGAUAUCUACAAAAAAUAAGCUGUUUCCUUUACUUUCAGAGAGCGAGCUGAUCAAGGGGUCGAAAAUGUAGAUAUUGCCAGAUGUUCACUGUCCGAGGAACAGGCCACGGAAGCUAUGGCAAAAGUGUCCAUAACCACAGCAUAAAGUACUCUGGAGCCACUUAGGUUGGACACCUGGUAUGUUUUGAUGUGAGAGAGGAUGCCGGUCCCGUCAUCGUCACCUCACCCACUCUUAAGAUAACCUUCGGGCCAACUGGGGGCCCAAGGCUGGUUAGGAGACACCGCAAUUGUGAUGAACUGAGAGAAUAUUAGGGUAGCACUGAAAUUCAUUAAUCAUAUGCUGUCUGCUGCUGUUCUUACCUCAUUCCCUUUGUCUUCUACACCUCUCUCCCCACCUCUUCUUUCUUCCUCGUUUUAUAAUGCACACCAUAUGUGCAUUGAAGUACAUUGAAUUACAUAUUGAAUUUGUAUUUAUAAUAAUCAUAAUUAUAAUGCAUGUUUUAUGCAUUUAUAACACCUGGGUAAUGAACUUCUUUCAAUAAAGCGUUUCACAUUCUCCCCUGGUUGAAAUUAAGUACUGUAUCUCAUUGAAAUACUAUAUGCAUAGUUUUUUUGCUGUUUAUAUGAAUUACAAAUCAGCCUUUAUUUAAAUCAUAUUUCUAGUCUAUUGCAUAGUUACAAUGUGUAAUCAUUGAUGUCCCAGGAGCAGGAGUGGUAAACGCUGUUGAAGUGUAUAAUUGUAAUACAUACAUGCAGACACGGCAUCAUUCAAGUAAUGGAGUUUGAUAUGACUGAAAAAUGUCUGAGAGAAAUACCUGAACCGCACCGUAAUUUGCCAAGGAAGAGUACAUGAUCAGUGAAUAUAUUCAAUGUACAGGUUACAAUGUGGGAAUCUCAUGCGUGGUAAUGACUACAUUACAUGUAUAUACAGUUGAUGUCGGAAGUUUACAUCCACCUUAGCCAACAACAUUUAAACUCAGUUUUUCACAA